GUUGGGUAGGGGAGCGUUCUGUAAGCCUGUGAAGGUGUGUCGUGAGGCAUGCUGGAGGUAUCAGAAGUGCGAAUGCUGACAUAAGUAACGAUAAAGCGGGUGAAAAGCCCGCUCGCCGGAAGACCAAGGGUUCCUGUCCAACGUUAAUCGGGGCAGGGUGAGUCGACCCCUAAGGCGAGGCCGAAAGGCGUAGUCGAUGGGAAACGGGUUAAUAUUCCCGUACUUGGUGUUACUGCGAAGGGGGGACGGAGAAGGCUAUGUUGGCCGGGCGACGGUUGUCCCGGUUUAAGCGUGUAGGUGUGUGUUCCAGGUAAAUCCGGUUCACUUUAACACUGAGGCGUGACGACGAGGCACUACGGUGCUGAAGCAACAAAUGCCCUGCUUCCAGGAAAAGCCUCUAAGCAUCAGGUAACAUCAAAUCGUACCCCAAACCGACACAGGUGGUCAGGUAGAGAAUACCAAGGCGCUUGAGAGAACUCGGGUGAAGGAACUAGGCAAAAUGGUGCCGUAACUUCGGGAGAAGGCACGCUGACACGUAGGUGAAGUGAUUUACUCAUGGAGCUGAAGUCAGUCGAAGAUACCAGCUGGCUGCAACUGUUUAUUAAAAACACAGCACUGUGCAAACACGAAAGUGGACGUAUACGGUGUGACGCCUGCCCGGUGCCGGAAGGUUAAUUGAUGGGGUCAGCGCAAGCGAAGCUCCUGAUCGAAGCCCCGGUAAACGGCGGCCGUAACUAUAACGGUCCUAAGGUAGCGAAAUUCCUUGUCGGGUAAGUUCCGACCUGCACGAAUGGCGUAAUGAUGGCCAGGCUGUCUCCACCCGAGACUCAGUGAAAUUGAACUCGCUGUGAAGAUGCAGUGUACCCGCGGCAAGACGGAAAGACCCCGUGAACCUUUACUAUAGCUUGACACUGAACAUUGAGCCUUGAUGUGUAGGAUAGGUGGGAGGCUUUGAAGUGUGGACGCCAGUCUGCAUGGAGCCGACCUUGAAAUACCACCCUUUAAUGUUUGAUGUUCUAACGUGGACCCGUAAUCCGGGUUGCGGACAGUGUCUGGUGGGUAGUUUGACUGGGGCGGUCUCCUCCUAAAGAGUAACGGAGGAGCACGAAGGUUGGCUAAUCCUGGUCGGACAUCAGGAGGUUAGUGCAAUGGCAUAAGCCAGCUUGACUGCGAGCGUGACGGCGCGAGCAGGUGCGAAAGCAGGUCAUAGUGAUCCGGUGGUUCUGAAUGGAAGGGCCAUCGCUCAACGGAUAAAAGGUACUCCGGGGAUAACAGGCUGAUACCGCCCAAGAGUUCAUAUCGACGGCGGUGUUUGGCACCUCGAUGUCGGCUCAUCACAUCCUGGGGCUGAAGUAGGUCCCAAGGGUAUGGCUGUUCGCCAUUUAAAGUGGUACGCGAGCUGGGUUUAGAACGUCGUGAGACAGUUCGGUCCCUAUCUGCCGUGGGCGCUGGAGAACUGAGGGGGGCUGCUCCUAGUACGAGAGGACCGGAGUGGACGCAUCACUGGUGUUCGGGUUGUCAUGCCAAUGGCACUGCCCGGUAGCUAAAUGCGGAAGAGAUAAGUGCUGAAAGCAUCUAAGCACGAAACUUGCCCCGAGAUGAGUUCUCCCUGAGACUUUAGGUCUCCUGAAGGAACGUUGAAGACGACGACGUUGAUAGGCCGGGUGUGUAAGCGCAGCGAUGCGUUGAGCUAACCGGUACUAAUGAACCGUGAGGCUUAACCUUACAACGCCGAAG
rnacentral:rRNA from 1 species